UUGCAGGAAAUCGCACAAUUGGUGAUAGAGUGCAUUUCUGCCUGUACAAAGGGAAGAGAUAUGCAACUGGGGAAACAUGGAAGGAUGGCUGCGAAUACGAAUGUUCAUGCCUCGAUGCAUUGAGAGGCAUAUUUUCAUGCUGGAGCCGAUGUCCUGUUUACUAUGAUAUUCCACCUCAAUGCACAAUGGUCAACGUUCCUGGAAGUUGUUGUAAAAAGCCAAUUUGUGAUUUUGGCGGCAAGUCCACAACAUCGACUGGACAUCACAAAGGAAACCGUUUCGGUGUAGACGUGUGUGUUUACAAAGGAAAAGAAUACUACCAAGACCAAA